rnacentral:tRNA from 1 species
GCCCUGGUAGUGUAGCUCGGCACAGUUAAUAAUGCCCGUAGGGUAUUCAUUUUACUGCGAAAACGCUUAUUUGGUUAUUAUGGCUAAAAAGGCGGCGUAAACUAUCAUGAAGCCCUGUCGAGGCUUCGACUCGGGUUCGAAUCCCGACCAGGGCG